CGGAGAGUAGUGUAAUGGCAGCACGAGUCCUUCGGGAGGAUUUAGUUCGGGUUCAAAUCCCGGCUCUCCGA
rfam:Candidatus Harrisonbacteria bacterium RIFCSPLOWO2_01_FTLL_40_28 rifcsplowo2_01_scaffold_14030, whole genome shotgun sequence.